GAGCGGCAAAAGCUCAAAUUUGAAAUCUGCGUAAGCCGAGUUGUAAUUUGAAGAUGGCUACUUUGGUAAUGGCUCUUGUCUAUGUUCCUUGGAACAGGACGUCACAGAGGGUGAGAAUCCCGUGCGAUGAGAUGUCCAUUACCGUGUAAAGUGCUUUCGAAGAGUCGAGUUGUUUGGGAAUGCAGCUCUAAGUGGGUGGUAAAUUCCAUCUAAAGCUAAAUAUUGGCGAGAGACCGAUAGCGAACAAGUACAGUGAUGGAAAGAUGAAAAGAACUUUGAAAAGAGAGUGAAAAAGUACGUGAAAUUGUUGAAAGGGAAGGGCUUGAGAUCAGACUUGGUAUUUUGUAUGGCUUGCUUUCGGGCGGGUCCUCUGCAGUUUACUGGGCCAGCAUCGGUUUGGGUGGCAGGAUAAUAGCAUUGGAAUGUGGCUCUACUUCGGUGGAGUGUUAUAGCCUUUGUUGAUACUGCCUGCCUAGACCGAGGACUGCGUCUUUUGACUAGGAUGCUGGCAUAAUGAUCCUAAGCCGCCCGUCUU
rnacentral:rRNA from 1 species